AUGGGGGGAUUCAUCGUCAGCGGCUCUGGCCUCCCGUCUGCGCGUGAUGCCCCGAGCACGGACCUUCGCGGUUCCGUGGCGAGGGCACGCCGUCUUCGGCGAACGUCUGGAGUCGUAGUCGUGCACUUCUCCCCUAGUAGAACGUCGCGACCCGUUGAGUGUCGGUCUACGGCCCGAGUGGGCGCCUGCCGCGUCGUCUCGCACGCACGCGGCAGACCCUCGGUCGCCCGGCCGGCUGCUCGGCGGUACUCGCACGGUAUCGGGCCGCAACCAAUCCAUCUUGAAUGUGUUUGCGUCGGGCCCGCCGCAAGCUGGGUCAGAAACUCGGAGGUCGGACUCAGCGCCGUCCCCGGGACUGGCCAGCUGUUGGUAGGCGGUGUCCUCGGACUGGCCAAGCUUCGAAUUACCGGUCGGCGACGCUACUGCUUUGGGUACUCUCAGGACCCGUCUUGAAACACGGACCAAGGAGUCUAACAUGUGUGCGAGUCAUUGGGACAGAAAAACCUAAAGGCGAAAUGAAAGUGAAGGUCGGCCUCAGCGUCGACCGAGGGAGGAUGGGCCGCGUCACGAUGCGGCUCCGCACUCCCGGGGCGUCUCGUUCUCAUCGCGAGAAGAGGCGCACCCAGAGCAUACACGUUGGGACCCGAAAGAUGGUGAACUAUGCCUGGUCAGGACGAAGUCAGGGGAAACCCUGAUGGAGGUCCGUAGCGAUUCUGACGUGCAAAUCGAUCGUCGGAACUGGGUAUAGGGGCGAAAGACUAAUCGAACCAUCUAGUAGCUGGUUCCCUCCGAAGUUUCCCUCAGGAUAGCUGGCACUCGCUCGAUCGAGUCUCAUCUGGUAA
rnacentral:rRNA from 1 species